AGAGAAAAGAAAAUAAAAAUAGCCCAGCCAGCAGCACGACAUGUCCUCCAAUCCUGCAGCACCGCCGCCUCCUGCCUGCCCCGCCUCACCGAGCGCCACGGGCCACCCUCUCCGCCGAGCGCCGACACCGCCUACCCGCCUCCCAUUGGGAUCCCCAAGCGUCUGACCCCGGUCGCCUUUCAUCGCCAGUACCUACAGAUCCGGCUGCCCAUCGCCUUCCCGGCUUCCCCGUCGGCUGCACCUCCCAGCGCCGCCACCCCCACCCCUGCCAAGCUCCGCCACUAGAGGAUCUCCACCGCCUGGAUCCACAUCCCCAUGGCCGGAACGGGUCCUCCUCGAGGAGCCGCGCAUCCUCUGCCUGCUCGAACGCUGCACAUAUCAUAUGCUAGGUUGAAUCCCACCGCCUACGACCGUCGCUGCCAUCAGAUCAGGAACAUGCAGGUUUGUAUUGUUUCUAGUGUAUGUUGGUCAUGCAUCGGAUGUCACUCGGUUUCUAGGAAUUUCAAGAUGGCAUCAAAGAAACCAACAAACAAGGAGAGAAAACUUAAACAAGAGAGAUGUAUGAGGAUGCCGGUGUCUCAUCAAACAUGUAUUGUGUGAGGACACUCUUCAUCCGACCUAAUCUUGACGAUCAUCCGCAGGUACACACAUACAUGUUAUUCCUUGCCGCCUCUUGGUUUAGUUCACAUGUCUUGAAUUACUUUGAUCCUUUUGGUGACAUCAAACUGGGUUGCAUAGAAGUAACUGCUAACUGGGUUUGACCUUUGUGAGGAAUCUACAACAACACUUCAAAACUCCGCAAGCUUACGCCUGACCACAUGUCGGAACUCGAUAAUACAACAGUGUACGAUGCACCAGAGGUUCCAAUGGAUAUCUGUUGAAGCGAUGUGGUCAUUAGCACGUAUGCUCACAAUCUCCUGGUAGAGCAUUUUCCCUUAAACGAUGCUACUGUCACAUGAUGCAUAUCAUGGUUUUGCUGGUUGGUAAUUUGACCUGCACAACACUUGCUGAUAUUAUCCUUUCCAGGAUGCGGAAUGAUUCUUCAAUUUGGGGUGCUAACUAUGCUAGCUUCAUAUUGCUGAAUGUAGGAGCUUAUUUUUUUCUUGUUAGUUAUUAAAUGAUAUUGGGCAGGGAAUCUGAAUGAACUAUUCUUUCUGAUUCUUGGAGUUACAUGUGUGAUUGCUUAGACUCUUCUAAUACUGUCAUAGUCUUGUUGGUUGCUUGGCUGAAAUAGUUUCUUAUGGGCCUCGUUCUGGACCUGUUCCCACUUAUGGGCCUUAUUCAUGUGUUUCCCUCACCUGCUAUUUGAAUGACAUAAUCCUUCAGAUCUUUCCCAAGUUUGGUGUUAAAGCUAACACGACUCCUUCAUGUAAAUACAACUUUGAACGAAGGAAAGCAAGACAGGGCCGCCUUUAUAUCUUGGAUCACUCCAUAGCAGGGAGCAAGAGUGGCCACAUCCGAGUUUAGAUAUUCAGUCACUGUUUUGCAAUCCAUCCCAAGCUCCACGGGUCCUCUGAAAACUUUUGCCAGAGCAUGUAGCCAAACCAGGGCUUCCUGGGCUUCAUCUUCCUCCACACUAUCGAAAACUGGUAACUGACAGUAUGUCGACAGAUACACUUAGCCUCUGUAAUCCCUGGCUACAGCCCCCACCCAUCCCGGCCACUGAUCUGCUAAAAACUUGCGUCAGUGUUCAACUAGGCUGAGCCCUAUUAGGGUGGAGUCCACUGUAUGGGUGGCAGUGAAAGAGGUAUUUAUGUGGUAAACGACGGGGACAGUUGUUCCUUUCCCUUCUCUGAACUCUUCUUUUCCAUCGCAUCGCCCAUCUCUUGCUCGUACUUCUGCAGGAAGCUGACAGAGUGCAGGACAUAUUCUUUUCCUAGAUGGACUACUACAACGCACGGGCAUUUUCACAAAGAGAACAUAGGGAUUUUAAGUUUUUUAUAGCAUGCACUGGAGGCUGUAGAGUCUAUAAUAUGCGUGCUCUCCUGGUUCCCUGCAAGCUCUUUUGGCCAUGACCUCAAGUUCUGCAGCUAGGCCGUGAAUGUGUUGGUCCUUCUCACCGUCCACUGAUGAUGGUGCCCAAGAGAAGUCAGGGAAGGAGAAAAGGAUGUUGCUAUCGCGUGGUCGUCGGAACAACUUGCCAUGGACACAGCCAUGCACUGGAUGCCAUCGACAGCUAGUCGUGGAUGAGCACCUCGCCGCCUCUGCAAAAUAUGGAUGCACGGGAUUCUGCUACUAACAUUGGGGAGUGUGUACUGUUGCGGUGCUGUGACAUAUACACUCUAUGGAAGAAACCCCUGUUUGAUUUACAGGGGAUGCUGAUUUGGAAUCUACUUUUGACAGAUCAAUCUGGUUUGUUGGCUGCUGGGUGGCUUCAUGUGACGCCGCAGUGCACUAGGGAGAGGUACCGAGGUCCCUAGAGCUACAUGUAUGUACCGUAAUAUUUCUUCUUUCGAUUUUGACGUUCAAUAUUGACUCCUUGAUCCCGUUUCUUAGGGUUCAUGAUUGGCAAUUGGUCGUGGGCAAUGGAACUAAAAUGUCUACUGAAUGUUCAUGGAUAUCUUAAAAGGAGAACAAUUCAUACUUUAGAUGUACAUCAUAUUUGAUGCAUCAGUCUAAUCUGUAGUUCAAAUUACA